GGCUGCGUGGGGCCGCGUUAAGUCGAGCGGAUGACGGGAGCUUGCUCCUUGAUUAGCGGCGGACGGGUGAGUAAUGCCUAGGAAUCUGCCUGGUAGUGGGGGACAACGUUUCGAAAGGAACGCUAAUACCGCAUACGUCCUACGGGAGAAAGCAGGGGACCUUCGGGCCUUGCGCUAUCAGAUGAGCCUAGGUCGGAUUAGCUAGUUGGUGGGGUAAUGGCUCACCAAGGCGACGAUCCGUAACUGGUCUGAGAGGAUGAUCAGUCACACUGGAACUGAGACACGGUCCAGACUCCUACGGGAGGCAGCAGUGGGGAAUAUUGGACAAUGGGCGAAAGCCUGAUCCAGCCAUGCCGCGUGUGUGAAGAAGGUCUUCGGAUUGUAAAGCACUUUAAGUUGGGAGGAAGGGCAGUAAGUUAAUACCUUGCUGUUUUGACGUUACCGACAGAAUAAGCACCGGCUAACUCUGUGCCAGCAGCCGCGGUAAUACAGAGGGUGCAAGCGUUAAUCGGAAUUACUGGGCGUAAAGCGCGCGUAGGUGGUUUGUUAAGUUGGAUGUGAAAGCCCCGGGCUCAACCUGGGAACUGCAUCCAAAACUGGCGAGCUAGAGUACGGUAGAGGGUGGUGGAAUUUCCUGUGUAGCGGUGAAAUGCGUAGAUAUAGGAAGGAACACCCGUGGGGAAGGCGACCCCCUGGACUGAUACUGACCCUGAGGUGCGAAAGCGUGGGGAGCAAACAAGAAUAAAUA
rnacentral:rRNA from 1 species